AUGGCCUCCAGGGAUUUUGCAAUAGGCAUGAUCUUAUCUCAGAUCAUGGUCGGAUUCCUGGGGAAUUUCUUUCUUCUUUACCACUAUAGUUUCUUUUGUUUCACCAGAGGUAUGUUAUGGUCCACACAUCUGAUUCUCAAGCAUCUGACCAUAGCCAACUCCUUGGUUAUAUACUCUCUAAAGGAAUCCCACAAACAAUGGCUGCUUUUGGGUUGAAAGAUUCCCUCAGUGAUAUUGGAUGCAAACUUGUGUUUUAUGUUCACAGAGUGGGCAGGGCUGUGUGCAUUGGCAACACCUGCCUCCUGAGUGUCUUACAGGUCAUCACCAGCAGCCCCAGCGAAUUCAGGUGGGCGCAGCUUAAACUACAUGCUCCCAGAUACAUGGGGUCCUUCAACAUCCUGGUCCUGUGCUGGAUUCUGAACACGCUGGUAAAUAUUACUGUUCCUCUACAUGUGACUGGCAAGUGGAACAGCAUAAAUAGCACAAAGACAAAUGAUUAUAAGUAUUGUUCUGGAAGAGGUAGGAGCAGAAUUCUACAGUCAUUACAUAUUGUCUUGUUAUCAUCCCUUGAUGUUUUGUGUUUGGGGCUCAUGGCCUUGGCCAGUGGCUCCAUGGUUUUUAUCCUGCACAGGCGCAAGCAGCAGGUGCAGCACAUUCAUGGGACCAACCUCUCCCCCAGAUCCUCCUCUGAGUCCAGAGUCACUCAAAGUGUCCUGGUCCUGGUGAGCACCUUGUGUUAUUUUACUCGCUCUCCUCCAUCUUUACACGUCUUUUUCCUAAUCCCAGUUGGUGGCUGUUGAACACCUCGGCACUGAUCACUGCCUGUUUUCCCACGGUCAGCCCCUUUGUGCUCAUGAGCAGCCAUCCCAGGAUACCCAGGCUGGGCUCUGCUUGCUGUGGAAGGAAUCCACAGUUUCCUAAGCUGAUCAGAUAG
rnacentral:sRNA from 1 species